rnacentral:rRNA from 1 species
AUUGAACGCUGGCGGCAUGCCUUACACAUGCAAGUCGAACGGUAACGCGGGGCAACCUGGCGACGAGUGGCGAACGGGUGAGUAAUGCAUCGGAACGUGCCCAGUAGUGGGGGAUAGCCCGGCGAGAGCCGGAUUAAUACCGCAUACGACCUACGGGUGAAAGCGGGGGACCGUAAGGCCUCGCGCUAUUGGAGCGGUCGAUGUCAGAUUAGGUUGUUGGUGGGGUAAAAGCCUACCAAGCCGACGAUCUGUAGCUGGUCUGAGAGGACGACCAGCCACACUGGGACUGAGACACGGCCCAGACUCCUACGGGAGUCAGCAGUGGGGAAUUUUGGACAAUGGGGGCAACCCUGAUCCAGCCAUGCCGCGUGCGGGAAGAAGGCCUUCGGGUUGUAAACCGCUUUUGUCAGGGAGGAAACGCUCUGGGCUAAUACCCCGGGGUAAUGACGGUACCUGAAGAAUAAGCACCGGCUAACUACGUGCCAGCCGCCGCCGUAAAAC